rnacentral:miRNA from 1 species
UCUCUGCCUGAGGGGUACUCU